rnacentral:misc_RNA from 1 species
GUGAAGAACGUAGCGAAAUGCGAUAAGUAAUGUGAAUUGCAGAAUUCAGUGAAUCAUCGAAUCUUUGAACGCACAUUGCGCCCAUUAGUAUUCUAGUGGGCAUGCCUGUUCGAGCGUCAUUUCAACCCUUAAGCCUAGCUUAGUAUUGGGAAUCGACUUUACUGUCGUUCCUCAAAUUCAACGGCGGAUUUAUAGCAAUCUCUGAACGUAGUAAUUUUUUUUCUCGUUUUUGAAAUACUAUAAACCUCAGCCGCUAAACCCCCAAUUUCUUAUGGUUGACCUCGGAUCAGGUAGGAAUACCCGCUGAACUUAAGCAUAUCAAUAAGCGGAGGA